ACCAAAAGGUUUGAGCUUUCUGAUUUUGAUGUGUCCCAUUUCAGAAAGUUAUUAUUAAUGUCCCCUUCUCUGAAAAAUCAAACAGCUGACAAGUUCUUUUAUUAAGAAAUCACUUGCAUCUGGUUGCACAACUAUUUGUGUUGGACAGGUGGACAAUCCAAUCAUUGAAGCCAUCUUACAAAAAUCAUACCAAUUUGACUAUCCUAACCAUAGGACCAGCUGCAUGAAAAUUGGAUAUAGAAAAAUGGAUACAGUAAUCAAAUUGGAAUCAUAUGUUGGGUAGAGAAAUUCAUUGGUCAAUUGAUUUUAAAUCCAAAUCUAUCUUGGAAAAUAGACAGUUAUAACAAAAAGGCCUUGCAAAGUAGAUGGUUAGGGAGAAAGAUGUGGUGCUUUUUCUUUUUU